GGUGAGAGCACAUUAUUUGAAACAACUAAUAAUUAUCACAGCAGUUCUUGUGUUACCUUUAAUCUUCAAUGUGGUGUCCAGUCAACACUUAAUAAUAUGAUAGUUAAUUUAUUUAAUCAAAUCGUUAAAGAAUCUUGUUUUUAUACAUUGCGUACAAAGGUAUAUAUAUAUAUAUAUAUUGGAAAAAUAAUUCAUUUUAUUCAACCUUGAAUGUUUUAAUUUGUAUUUUAGGAACAACUGGGAUAUAUAGUUUCCAGUUCAGUGAUCGAAAGUCAAGGAGUACUAAGUUUCCAAAUUGUCGUACAAUCUGAACGUUCUCCAAUGUAUGUUGAUACAAGAAUAGAAAGCUACAUAGAUA